CCAAGGAGUCUAACAUGUGCGCGAGUCAUUGGGACUUCACAAAGCCUAAAGGCGUAAUGAAAGUGAAGAUCGUCCUUAGCGUCGAUCGAGGGAGGAUAGUCGGGUCUUUGGAGCUGGCUCGCACUCCCGGGGCGUCUCGUGCUCAUUACGAGCAGAGGCGCACCUAGAGCGUACACGUUGGGACCCGAAAGAUGGUGAACUAUGCCUGGUCAGGACGAAGUCAGGGGAAACCCUGAUGGAGGUCCGUAGCGAUUCUGACGUGCAAAUCGAUCGUCGGAACUGGGUAUAGGGGCGAAAGACUAAUCGAACCAUC
rnacentral:rRNA from 1 species